rnacentral:rRNA from 1 species
AUUGAACGCUGGCGGCAGGCCUAACACAUGCAAGUCGAGCGGAUGAGAAGAGCUUGCUCUUCGAUUCAGCGGCGGACAGGUGAGUAAUGCCUAGGAAUCUGCCUGGUAGUGGGGGACAACGUUUCGAAAGGAACGCUAAUACCGCAUACGUCCUACGGGAGAAAGCAGGGGACCUUCGGGCCUUGCGCUAUCAGAUGAGCCUAGGUCGGAUUAGCUAGUUGGUGAGGUAAUGGCUCACCAAGGCGACGAUCCGUAACUGGUCUGAGAGGAUGAUCAGUCACACUGGAACUGGGACACGGUCCAGACUCCUACGGGAGGCAGCAGUGGGGAAUAUUGGACAAUGGGCGAAAGCCUGACCCAGCCAUGCCGCGUGUGUGAAGAAGGUCUUCGGAUUGUAAAGCACUUUAAGUUGGGAGGAAGGGCAGUAAGUUAAUACCUUGCUGUUUUGACGUUACCGACAGAAUAAGCACCGGCUAACUCUGUGCCAGCCGCCGCCGUAACAC